AGUGUCUAUUGAAAGGAGAGACGGUUAGCACUCCCCUUGACAAGGAUGGAACACACAAUUUGGUUAAGGCACUAUUAACCAAACAUUUUUU
rnacentral:ncRNA from 1 species